UAGCAGGUUGAAACAACUUUUUCCAGUGCGAUCUCCAAAGUUAAGCUACAUCGAGCCUGGUCAGUACCUAGAUGGGUGACCGUUUGGCAAUACCAGGUGCUGUAGU